GUGCUCACUUCGGCAGCACAUAUACUAAAACUGGAACGAUACAGAGAAGAUUAGCGUGGCCCUUGCGCAAGGAUGACAUGCAAAUUCGUGAAGCGCUCCAUAUAUUA
rnacentral:snRNA from 1 species